rnacentral:pre_miRNA from 1 species
UCUCCAGUGGAUUUUCCUCAAGUUUUCUCUAGUGGACAUUUGUGGCGGUUUGGAACCGCCACAAAAUGUUGGAUGCUGCCACAAAAUCUGUCAAUUUUUUGCAGCACCAUUUUGUGGCAGCUUCAAACAUUUUAUGGCGGUUCCAAACCGCCACAAAAUUCCACUGGAGAAAACAUGAGGAAAAUCCACUGGAGA